CCUCAAAAACAAAACUGAAAUUUAUGUUGUCAUUUAUAUAAAUAAGAUAUGAUGGAUUAUUUUUUUCUGCUUAUCAGAAGAGAAAAAGAAUCAAAAGAAAAGUGUAAGGUUUGGACUGGAGCCAUCAAGUAAGAAAACUUCUGUCUCCUCUGUCCCUCCUCCCCACUGUAAGAUCAGAGGAGAAACAUGGGAGAUGAGGGGUGAGAGACAUAUGUUAAAGAGACCAUGCACCAACCUCCACCCCAAACUUACAGAGUUACAGAUCUAAGAUGGAUAGAAGGGGAUAUUCAAAAGAGCUCUAAAUCCAUCUGACAUUAAGGUGUCUAAAUUACCAGGACUGAAUUUAAAGAAGUAGAAUGAAAAUUGAUGGGGAAAAAUCAGAUACCAAGUGUUAGAAUAUGAAGCAGCAGUAUUUCUAAUAUCUUGCUAGAGGGAAGUGAACUGAUAAACUCAUUUAAAAUUAUCUCAUGAUGUUGAAGAUAUGCACACUCCUAUGACCCAGUAAUUCUGUUUCUGGAUAUUUAGCCAAGAAUCACUUGUGAAUAUGUGCACCAGGACACAGGUACAAAAGUGAUUGUAGCAAUACUUCAGUAGUAAAAGCAAACAAAACUCUGGCUAACAAAAAUAUUUAUGGCAAAAAAGGGAUAAAGAAUGGCAGUUGUUCACACAAAAGAAUAUUAUACAAUGAAAAUGAAUUAAUUAAAGCAAUAUCUCAAAAUUAUCAUGAAUACUAAUAAUAUAAUGUUGAGUAAAAGCCAGACCUAGAAGACUGUAUAUAGCUUGAUUACUUUGUUCUAAACUAUCAUUUGCAAUGCAUUAUUUUUUUUUUAAUCAGAGGGAUAAUAGUUGUAUCAGAUAAGAGGAGGCAAGAGGUAGAAUGGGGAGGUGAACAUAAAUGUAAGUUUUGUCACUGUUUUAACUCUAACUGGGUGGUUGAUUUAUGGGUAUUGAUUAUUUUUAUUAUUAAUUAAUAACAGAUGAAGAAGAAGAGGGCUAUAAAUAAUGAUACUAUUUAAUGAAAGAAAUAUUAUGCUUUUUCCAAUGUUGUACUCCUGAAGUCCAUUAAAAAUAUAUAAAAAGAAAAGUUAUGAAGUUAGGUGGAGAUGAAUUCAGUGAGAAUGAAAGGUGAGUGACAGAUCAUGAUAAAGGCAUUUAUUGGAAAAAAUUAAAUUGUCAUACGUUCAUUCCCCAACAAAAGACUUUUUCAAUA
rnacentral:lncRNA from 1 species